CCUACGGGAGGCAGCAGUGGGGAAUAUUGGGCAAUGGGCGCAAGCCUGACCCAGCAACGCCGCGUGAAGGAAGAAGGCUUUCGGGUUGUAAACUUCUUUUGUCAGGGACGAAGCAAGUGACGGUACAUGACGAAUAAGCCACGGCUAACUACGUGACAGCAGCCGCGGUAAGAAGGAGGUGGCAAGCGUUAUCCGGAUUUACUGGGUGUAAAGGGCGUGUAGGCGGGACUGCAAGGCAGAUGUGAAAACCCCGGGCUCAACCUGUGGCCUGCAUUUGAAACUGUAGUUCUUGAGUACUGGAGAGGCAGACGGAAUUCCUAGUGUAGCGGUGAAAUGCGUAGAUAUUAGGAGGAACACCAGUGGCGAAGGCGGUCUGCUGGACAGCAACUGACGCUGAGGCGCGAAAGCGUGGGGAGCAAACAGGAUUAGAUACCCUGGUAGUC
rnacentral:rRNA from 1 species